rnacentral:rRNA from 1 species
CCCUUAGAUGUUCUGGGCUGCACGCGUGCUACACUGAUAUUGCCAAUAUGUCAUUCUUAUCCGAAAUGGAUUGGGUAAUCAAGUAAUGAUAUUUCAUGCUUGGAAUCGGUAAUUGCAAUUUUAUCGUGAACGAGGAAUUCCUAGUAAGCACUAGUCAUCAGCUAAUGUUGAUUAUGUCCCUGCCCUUUGUACACACCGCCCGUCGCUACUACUGAUUGGGUGUUCAAGUGAGAUGCUUAGACCCUUGUUGCAUGGUUCAUUAUUGUGCUCCGAAAGGAAAAAGUUUCAAGCUUGAGUGUCUAGAGGAAGUAAAAGUCGUAACA